rnacentral:rRNA from 1 species
CCUACGGGUGACAGCAGUGAGGAAUAUUGGUCAAUGGCCGGAAGGCUGAACCAGCCAUGCCGCGUGAAUGUCAGUGCCCUAUGGGCGUUAAACUUCUUUUGUGCGGGAGCAAUAAUGGUCACGUGUGGCCAGACGAGAGUACCGUACGAAUAAGCAUCGGCUAACUCCGUGCCAACAGCCGCGGUAAUAAGGGGGAUGCAAGCGUUAUCCGGAUUUAUUGGGUUUAAAGGGUGCGUAGGCUGUGAGGUAAGUCAGCGGGGAAAUGCCCCGGCUCAACGGGGGGAAGUGCCAUUGAUACUGGCUAGAUGGAAUGCGGAUGCCGUGGGAGGAAUGUGUGGUGUAGCGGUGAAAUGCAUAGAUAUCACACAGAACACCGAUUGCGAAGGCAUCUCACGAAUCCGCGAUUGACGCUGAUGCACGAAAGCGUGGGUAUCAAACAGGAUUAGAUACCCGUGUAGUC